rnacentral:rRNA from 1 species
GAUUAUGGCUCAGAGUUAACGCUGGCGGCGUGCCUAACACAUGCAAGUCGGGCGGGGAGUGGCAGAGUACCGCGCUCCCAGCGGCAGACGGGUGAGUAACGCGUAGGCAACAUGCCCAUAAGAGGGAGACAACCAGCCGAAAGGUUGGCUAAUAUCCCGUAAUACCCUGGGGAGGCAUCUUUUCCGGGUUAAAGCAGCGAUGCGCUUAUGGAGUGGCCUGCGGCCUAUCAGCUAGUUGGUGAGGUAACGGCCCACCAAGGCAUAGACGGGUAGCCGAUCUAAAAGGAUGACCGGCCACAAGGGGACUGAGACACGGCCCCUACUCCUACGGGAGGCAGCAGUGGGGAAUUUUGGACAAUGGGGGAAACCCUGAUCCAAGCGACGCCGCGUAAAGGAUGAAGGUUUUCGGAUUGUAAACUUCUUUUGCAGGGGGCAAAGGCCGGCAACGGCGUGAUGGUACCCUGUGAAUAAGCCACGGCUAACUACGUGCCAGCCGCCGC